UAUAGUGUUCAAGAUGCCAAGGUUUGAGAGAGCAGGUAGGGGUUGUAAGAGAACAGUGUGACCAUUUGAAUAUUUGUGUUUGUACUUAAUCCCCUGCUUGAGUCCAGCUAGGAUAAUAUGAUAUUUCCUUUUGUGAUUUUUGAUAACCUUUUAUAGUUGGAGUAAUACUUUACAUGACAUGAUGACAUGCACAAAUCUGCUGCUAUGUUAUUUCAUAGAAUAACCACUGUAAAUUUUGGAGCAAUCACUAAUUCAGAAUUCUGUGAAUAUAUCUUUAGUUAGACGUGUAACAGAUAUAGAAUCCAUACUCUAGGUGGAAUAAACAUUUAAUUAUGUUUUCUGCUAGCCUCGGGUUCAGCAACCUCUGCUGAUCUUGUAAAAUCUCCCUGUACUCGCUAUCACCGCCCGCCGGUUGCCGCCGUCGGCCGAGCCGGUUUCCCCGCUCCCCUGUUCUCUCUCUCUCUGACCGCCCGGCCCCCCCCGUCCCCCCCCCCCCCCCCACCCCCUAUCUUAAUAAAAUUGGCAAACCCAAUCUGGGUUUUCCUGGCAAAAAGAAUAAACAUUUAAAGGUUUAUAUUACGCGCUGAUGAUCAAUGUUGUCAAGAAGGAUGGAAAACUAACAUUAAACUCUCUUGCUAGUGUAUUUCAAGCUGUUACUGUGGUGUGGCAAAUUGACAUGAAUUGCAGUUGCAAAUUUUAUCCAUGAUGCACAUAUUUUCAGUUAGUUGCUUUUUUUUGGCAUAGUUAAUUCCCGAAGUUUUUUGUACACAUUUUUUUGUGGUAUAGUGGGAAUUGGUUUGUGCCCUUUCAAAACAUGAUGAACAUUUUCUUACAUUUGUUUUACUACUUUCUGUUCAGGUAGAAACAAUUAUGAGGUCUGAGUUGUCCAUAAUUUUUAAGAACUGUCAUUAUAGGCUCUGACCAGGGUAGAUCAGGGUGGUGAAAGCUACAGCCUUAUUUGCUGAAGUUAGCUCAUUUCCAAUGGUGGCCAAUUGCAAGAAAUAUGCUGUGUCAGACCACCUUGUCAGACGGAAUAGUCAAGAUUUCGUAGCCACUCCCUUCAAUGACAGAACUGUAAAUCUGCAAUGGUAACAGAUAUGGAAGGUUUGUUGAGAUGUCAAUUCAUCAGGCGCCUAUUUCCAAUUGCUGAAGUUCACAGCAGUGCAAUUAAACCGGAGUUAUUCUGGAAAACAUCCACCGUAGCAUCUGGUAAGUUGACUUCUGUUACUCAAUUGUGAAACCUUACUACUCAGUGUGUCUGUGGUGCUUCAGAUCCAGGGCCUGAUGCGCAUAUGUGCAAACAACCUUUGAAGGUUUGGUAUCAGUCUAUUUCAUCAUUCAUUGUUUUUCCUAAGCCAACCAGUUCAAUGCCAUUGUCCAUAUUCACAGCUGCAAAUUCACCCAAUCCAGCUGGGAAAGUCAGAGAAGAUUAACUGUCCCUCAUUUUAUCUUGUCAAGUGAGCAGGGUGAGUGGCAUCAAUCUCUGUGUGAAUGUGAACUUCCUCACUUUCAUAGACAAGGUUUCAACUGCUCAAAUAUAACUUACUGACCACAACAUAGCAACUAACAAACAUGAGUGCAAAAGGUGCCCUUUGGUCAAAAAGCUUUUGCAGGCUGCCAUUGUACCCUAUCUGUACUGCUCCACAAGACAAGUGAGCAGGUUUAACCAACAAUCUUUGUUUGUUAGUAUGCCUUUUGAAUUUGUCUCCUUCCUUUGAUGUGGCACAGGAGUGAAUUCCAGCUGAACCAUUACAUGAUUGCUUUUGGAGGUAGGAAAGCUGAUUUGAUGAGGAAAACUAGGGAAUAAUUGGCAGUUGGUGGCUGCCAGCUGAACCAUUAUCUGAGAGACAGUAGGAUUUCAGCCCACUUCAUGACAUGGCCUCAUUUUUGUGCCUAUGUUGCACUUAAGAGGAUUCAACCCAUAUACAUACUAUGAGCAUAGAUAAAGAUCAUGAAGAACUCUCUCAUAGUACACAUUAUGACCACAGCAUAAAGGAGGAAGAAUGGUACUGAAACAUUGUUAAACUUUGCUUAAUUAAUGUCCCUGCUUAAUUUGAUCAGAGGAUGACAACUAGUUUCAUGACAUGAAGCAUGGUCAUUGCAUCCACUCUAGUCUCUAGCUACCAUUGCCCCAAUUUACAAGCAGGCUACCUCCAUUUCUACCCACCUAUAUAUAUGGCUGGUUAAUAAUCAGGAUCCUUCUGAAACUGAACCCCAAAAUGGCAGCUUGUGAAGAAUCAUGGCAAGAACACCAUGUUCAAGUUCACAAGCCAUCACCAUCCUUCAGAAGAAAUCCCCUCCUUUUGAGCUACUGAUUAGGAAAGCAUAUAAUUGAUGAUAACAACCUGCUUAAUGGUCAUCUCAUGAACCCUAAGUAUGGCUUAAUUAUGUCAGUGUUUUACCAGGCUAUGAUUUAAGCUGGCUAAGCUAACCUAGUUUUAUGUGUCGUUCCAGACACUGAAGAGCUGUGCGCCACCAUGG
rnacentral:lncRNA from 1 species